rnacentral:tRNA from 1 species
CCUGGCAGCUCAGCUGGUAAAGAAUCUGCCUCCAGUGCAGAAGACCCCGGUUCAACUCCUGGGCCAGGA